rnacentral:rRNA from 1 species
AUGACGGGUGGGACUCGUUGGCUGUGGGGUCAUGCUACUGAUGUGAGUUUUCUCCAGUUUUUGGUACACGAGGUGUGCAUCGCGUCCUUGCCAAUCGUGGCCUGGGUAAAAGGAACCCUAGAGCCCUCCGCAGGCGCCUCCCUCCUCUCGCGCUUCCUCCCCAUGACCCCACCUCGCCUCGCGCCGCCGCCCAUCUCCGCCUCCUCUCUCACGUCCUCCCUACCACCAUGGCCUAGCCCACCCUCGUCAGCGACCUCCCCAAGCCCCCUCUCUCUCGGGGGUGCUUCUGGUCGCAAUCUGGAAGAAGAAAAGGAGACCCCAGAAGAAGUUAGAGUGUCCUGGUGGUGGCUAGAUCGAUGCAGCUGA